rnacentral:misc_RNA from 1 species
ACGAAUGGUCUCCGUACCUUCAAACCCCUCAAACCUGUGGACGUAGAAAAACGUGCUUCGGCGCCCGUGCGCCGCCUUUAUGCCGUAAAUCUGCAGUGCGUCUGAAUGUGAAAAAAGAAUCA